rnacentral:tRNA from 1 species
AGCAAAGUCAGCUAAAUAAGCUUUUGGGCCCAUACCCCAAACAUGUUGGUUAAAAUCCCGCCUGUGCUA